GGAGCCCGCCGGUCUGUGCCGGGGCCGCAGAGCCGAGCCCGCCGGUCUGUGCCGGAGCGGCAGAGCCGAGCCCGCCGGUCUGUGCCGGGGCCGCAGAGCCGAGCCCGCCGGUCUGUGCCGGGGCCGCAGAGCCGAGCCCGCCGGGCCCUCCCGCUGCCCUGGACACGCGCGUCUGCCAUUCACUGUGCUUUGUCACCUGCUGCUGGCACCGAGGACACAGGGGCAGCACCCGCAGCGGUGCUGUACGGUUAAUGGCAGCCGAGGCCUCAACAGCUCCGCAAGGCACCCCGGGUGUGCAAGGGGGUUGUGUGGGUGUGACAUCCCGAGCAGCCCCUCCACGCUCAGCUGCAUCCUCCGGGCCCCCAGCCAGGGACCUGCCACUGGCACACACGGCGGGGACCCCGGGGACAUGGCCGUCCCCACUCCACUGCUCCAUGUCCGUCCCCACUCCACUGCUCCAUGUCCGUCCUCACUCCACUGCUCCAUGUCCGUCCCCACUCCACUGCUCCAUGUCUGUCCCCACUCCACUGCUCCGUGCCCAACCCCGCUGCCCCUGUGCAGAGGCUGCUGAGUGAUGCUGUGUUUCAGGGAAGAAAAGGCCAAAGCUGCCAGAAAAAACCUGCAAGGAAGAAAACCACCUACAAAUUGGGAGAAGCAUUCUGCUUUGACAGAAUAAAAAUAAAACCUGGAAUGGGAAAGGAAAGGCAUGAAAGAGUUAGUGACAAAAUAUCAUGUACAGCUAGGGAGAUGAUGGUUUUAUUGGUAUUGCAGGGGGGAGGGAGAAGCUGAGAGGCAGUGAAAACACAAUUUGGGCUAAAAUUGAAUUUCUCUGAUAAGGAAUUUCAGAAGCGGCUGCCUCAUUCACUGUGCGGCCAAAUAAUCAUAUGCGCUUUAAUAAUCUUUAUUUUACAGGAGUACGUUGCCAGGGCAACAGAGUGUAAGCAGGAGAACAGCACCUUGCAGAUCACAAAGGCAAAUCUGCAGAAAGAAAUUUCAGCGAGUUUCUCUCUCCCUUUUGCAAUGUAAUGACGACUUAUUUUUCAUGCACUGAUUUAAUAAUCUUAUUGAAAGAUCCUUUUGCUGUUUCUCUUAUUCUUGUCUGUCUGAGCAUGGACAAUGGCAAAAACCUGGAAUUGUCGAGCCCACUGGGCUAAGCAAACUAACACAUGUAAUAUGUUUAGCAUUUUUAUGUAAUUACUUUUUAUUGCUAUUUUACCCCUACCUCUGUUCCUCCUUGGUUAGUUGCCGCUUCCUUUCCAUUGUGGCCCAAUCAGGUGAUAGUGAGGGGCUGGGGGAGAGUUAGUAAUUGACUGCAUUAAUCGGAAAUUAUUAGUUGGACGUAUUUUCAAGGGUGGGGGUUGGCUGCAGAAAUAGACCUUUUAGGAAGGGAUGAAUUGAAUUAUGGUCAAUGCAAUAAUGAAGCCUCUAGGCUGUAAGCUGUGGAGAGGACAGUCAUCUUCACAAAGGUUUUAGUGUUAUUUAUAAUGGGCUCUGCUCCCUGGGUGAAAAACAAUAUGCUGCCCUGCUGACAUUCACUGGAUGUGGGUGUCUCGAUUAGCUGGUCUGAAAAAUAAGCUGAUUUGGUACGAUUAAAGAUGCAAACUUGUGAAGAUCUUCGACGUUGGUAAGACUGAGCGCAGGAAUGUUGGCACCAAGGCUUUGGCAGGGCGCAGUUUGUGACGAGUCCGUCUCUUGUAAACAUUUUCCCUCUCAUUGCGUUUCCCAGGGGCCGCGCUCGGGAAGCGGGCGUGGGAACAGCCGGAGCUGCGGGCUGCGCGGCCAGGUUUGCGGCAUUAAGUACAAACCCCAGUUUGUGUGACUGUGGCUGGCAGAUUGCAAGAAAUGAAGGCCAAGGGCUGUGACCCGAGCUCGGUGCGGCUGCGCUGCAGCUCCGGCAGGUCCGUGUGGGCAGCGGGGAGCAGCAGAGCCUGCGCCGGGCACGGCCAGGCUGCCGAGGGGGCCACGGGAUGGGGUUUGCAGCCUUAUCGGAGAAUGUUAUGUUUUUUCUGGUUUGAUUUCAGGCUUAUCAGUGUUACUGAAAUGAAACCUUUCUUUAGAAAGCUAGUUCUUUAAGAGCUAGCACAUAGAUGUACAUUUUUUGCGUGUCGUGAAAUAAUCAGUGUAUAUAAAAGCCGAGUAGCAUUUUCACUACAGGAUUACUUCCUGCCAAAUGCACCGUGUUAUCUGCACGUGGGGUGCUCCUUGGGCAGGUUUCCCGGGCAGCAAACCCGCGCUGGCCUUGGCUGUGCUGGGCGGUUCUGUGGUUUGACAGCGACUGAGCAAAAAUCUUACCCUUCCAAUGUCUUCGGAUAGAUGGAGACAACGUUGCCGUGGUCUGAAGAAAGCCAAGUAGCUUCUGGAAACCUCAAAUCAGGUUGACAACGCAAGAUCGAUCUGUCAUUCAGAUGAAGCAUGCUGCUUUGACGGACGUUGAGGAAUUUUUUGUAUUUGGUAUUAGAUGGCUUCUGUCAGAUCCAACAGCUCUUCUCCUCUAAGUGAUAUCCAAGUAAAUCUUUCAAGUUUUUGUCUGUGCAGAGCCACAUUUCACAGAAACUCUGCACAUCACUUCAGUUAUAUGUAUAUAUAUAUAUAUACAUGUAUAUGUAUAAACUAGUAAAAGCAGUUUUCUUCUGUGAAGCCUACAGGAAAGUAGCUGCUACAGCCAGGCUGGGUCACAAAAAGAACUGUGAACACUGGGAAACAUUUCUGGGUUUUGUUGGCUUAGGAGACUGUAUUCUUGACUUCUUAAAGCAAUACUGGACAAGGAGACUUUGUUGGAGCUUCCUCUACACUUUUAAAACAUUUUUUUCUCAUUUAAUCAUAAUAAGUUUUAAAAUGCAGAAAGUCAAAAGGAUUAUUAUCUGUUCUUUGUAAGGAUCGAUGUGGAAGCCCAAAGUUUGAAGCAGGAUGGCAGAAUUUGUACUUGCUGUAGGUGGAAAAAUAGUUAUUCACCAUUCAUAGAUCACACUGUCACAGUGUCUUUGCACUGAUUGUUCUGUUUUCCUUAGAAAUGGUAGGAUAAAAUUUUGUUAAGAAAUGGAAGCUCAGCUGCUUAAAUACCCAUGAUAUUUCUAGCAGAAAACCUGGGCAAUUUACUUUCCCCUUCCUGCUAGUUUGUAUCCUGCUGCCUUUUGAAAUGGAAACUCUUCUGACCCUAUAACCUCUGUGUUACUCCCAAUAAAACUCUUUUUAAUUGUGUUUUGAAGGAGCAUGCAGGGAGCUCCCACAGUACUAAUCAGCUUUGCUGGUUUGGAUAUGUAUCUCCAGGAUUCGUGUUGGCAGAAUAACUUGAUAUAAUUGCAGCUCUGCAUCGGUGAUUUAGUGCUUAAGAACUUUAAAGGUACGGGUCUCCAUUUCUAUCUGCAUGUUGCUGCUGCACGAGGGUCUGUCCCUCCCCGAGUGGCAGGAGGGGACAGCGGUGGCCAUGCAGGGGACAGUGGUGGCAGGAGGGGACAGCGGUGGCCAUGCAGGGGACAGCUGUGCCACACGCCGCUGUUCCCAGCACUCAGGUGCUCAGGCACUGCAUUAACACGGUGACACGGAGCUCAGGUGAGACCUUUCAGAUCUUUCUGUUGACAGGUAGGAUGUGGAAAUGUAGGUGAUCUUCAUUGCCUGGUACCAAUUAACAACAACAAAAAACCCUGUUCUAGCCAGAAUCUCAGUUUUGUGCUGGUCAAAAGUAGGUCUGGCUCACUUAAAUGAAUGUUUUAAAAUUAGGCAUGUCUUUAAGCUGUUUGAGGGCAUUUGCAGCUUUGGUUUGAAGCAUGGAACAGCUGCCUUCCAGUGCCAAACCUCAGCACCCAUUGCAGGCUGACGAAACGCCCUCCUUUCACCAGGGAGAUGGCAGUGAAUCGGUUUACAGUCAUGCAUUGCAGGAGGUAUCACUUUGGCGGAUACUCAGGCAUUUUAUCCCUGUUCUUUACAUUGUUUGGCUUCUCACCUUUCUCAGAAAGCAACAACGUUGCUCUAGCUUCUUUACACUGUAGUACAAAUGCAUUUAAUGUUGCAGCUUGCCCAGCAGGAGCUCAGUUCACAGAGCUGCUGUCCGUCUGCAGACACUUGUCCAUGGCUCCGCCAACGUGCCUCUGUCCGGCCUCCAGCAUUCCCAAAGUCAGAAUGCCUUAGCCUGCCUCCCUGUUACUGUUUGAUAAGCGCCGGUAAUGCACGAACCGCCUCGCACAAAUGACUGUACUAAGAACGCUCCCAAUUGCCCUGUAAUAAAACUGCUGUCCUCCCUGAAAGCGAAGAUGAGGACAGAAAGGGCAAGUAUGAUUGGAAGGUCAACAAGUUUGAGCACUGACAGAAUGAAAAAAACAAAUUAUAACGCCGAGGACAUGAUGCUGGCAAUGUCCUGUGUCUACUUCCUGGCGCAGCUGCAGCCAAGGUGUGUGAGCUCGGGUGCCACUGGCUGGGUUCCGCAGCCUCGGGUACCGGGUUAUUUGUGUGUUAUGGUUCACUGCUGCAGAUCAUUCACGCUGUGUGGUGGUGUGAGCAGGAGCCGCAGUGCGUGCCAGCGAGGUGCCCCCCAGCUGCCUGGCCCCACACGGACGCGUCGGCUGCGGUUCUGCGGGGCUGGGGCACCCGCCGGGCUUGUGCCAGAGCUUCCUCUUCAUAGGCUGCAAGGAGAGACUGCUUUCAGCGUGCCCUCAAAUGAGGACCUGGACUCGGCUGAUCCGGGGUGGCCGCCGCGGAAUCCUGUGGCAGACCUGGGGGUAACUGGAGAGUAACGUGUCGCGCUUCCCAUUCUGAUGUCGGGCGAAAUGCAAAAGAUAAACACAAGUGGCAAAGCAUGGUCAGGUGGAUCAAUAAACCACAGGAUGUUUGGGAUUCUGGAGCAGUAAGAAACGCAUGACUGUGGGUGGGAGGCAUUGGAAGGGUUGGUGUUCACAGUCAUCAGCACCCCGGGACUGUUUGUGUGCCUGAACACAGGUACAAAACUGAGCAGUGGAGAAACGCCAGCACAAAGCCUCAAACGGAAUUAGCGAGGCCGCAGAAAAGUGGACACGGGAAGAGAAAGAAAUGGGACCCCAGCACAUCCUUAAAUUACUCACAUGAAGUGAGAUGUCUGACCUUGCUGAGGCUUUGCCCUUUGCUGUAUGGGAUGAAUGACGUAAAAAGGCUCAACCUGAAAUAUUGCAUUCUUUCCCUAUGCUCUGUUCCUAGAUUAACUCUUACUGAUGUUCUAACUUUAAACACAUAUCUCUAGAGAAAGAAUGUUGUGAUUCAGUUUUGCAUUGGCCAAAUUCAUGUUCUGACUGUAGAUGAAGGUGCCAGGCAUCCAAUUUGUGACUCAUUAAAUCAAGUGGUGCCAAUACUCAGGUUCAGUACCUGAAAACAUUGUGUUUCUUGAAAGUUACUGGCACUUUCAAGGAGGGAAAAAACACACUAGGAUGUUCUUUGUGCGAGGUGACGAAUUCUUGGGAGCGUUCACGCUUGCCAGUCUUUGCAGGUACUGCGGGUGCUGGGGGUAGUGGGUAGCAGCUCAAAGGAGAGGCUCUGGAAUUCUGUGACUUGCUGUAAGUUUUAAGAUAAGGUAAAUUUAGAGUAAAACAGCAGGUGUUCCUUCAUUCAGCUGGGAUUCAGAAUGACAUUGAUGCAAUUGCAAAAAGGCCAGAAGCUGUUGGAGUGUUGCCUGUGAUGUGGCUGAUACAUGGCAGCUGAACUGGCAAGACCUUAUGAGGAAUUUUAUCACCAAGAACUCUUUACUGAAACCAAAACUUACCAGAACAAAAAUCUUCAAGUCAUUUUAAGCAGAUUCCUGGUUAACCUGCUUAGUAGCUUGUGAAUUGAUGUGAUUGUAUGAACCGGAUGUUAGAUUGGGUUCAUAUCUCAUGGCUGGAAGUCAUGAGCGGUGAAAGCUGAACCCACGGUGCAUGACCACAUCACCUGCUGUUCCACAACUCUCUGGCCUUUGUUCACAGCAGACUCAGAUUCAUGUCUUAAGGUGUGGUGACUCAGAUUCACGUCUUAAGGCGCAGUGCUUCCAGCUGCCUGGGAUCUGGGUGCUGCUUCAUGCUGUGCUUGGUGUGGGCAGGAACUCUCACCCUUGUCCUCUGAGCAAGCGUCUCGUCCUGGCAGUGGGCCAGGAAGGGAGACAGAGUGUUCCCUGGUCACUCCUCUCCUGACAGCCCUCUGGUUGCUCAGAUCGUGGAUUUGUUGGUAGGUUCUCCGAGGGUCUGCCUGUCAGGGUCUUGCGCUGCAGUCACGGACAGCACGGUCCCCUCUGCCACAGGCACGUCCCAUCCCUUCCACACUCCCUCCUCAGCAGGGUGCUCCUUCGCUUUCCUACUGUUUCGCUUUGGCUCCUCUGCAGUAGUCAGGCCAGGGGUUGCCUCUGGUUGGGGCAGCGGCUAAAACAAACGCAGCCCUUGGCACAGCCGCCUGCCCGUGGUGAGCAGUGGCCAGCUGGCACCUGCACUGUCAGCAGGGCUGCGCUCCCGGGCAGCACCGCGGGCUCACUCAGCUGUGGAAACCCCAGCUGAUGGGCACCAGUGGGCAGCAGACCGUGUUCCAUCCGCUACAGCCGUGCGACUGGUCCCAGCUGGGGUGCUCAGCCCGUGGUCUGCGUGGCCACAGGCCCAAAGCCCCGGUCCCCUGGCUCCUCCAGAGCGUGUGCAGCCGCGUCGCUGCCUCGUGGCACCCAGAGCGCGGCAGCUCAGAACCGCGCGUGUGCUCCCGCGGGUGCUGCGCGUCGCUGUCCCUCCGCAGCCUGGUGCGGUGGCACCGGUGCGAUGCGUGGGCUGAAAGCAGAAAUUUCAGAGAACAAUGGUUUCACAUAUCUCACCGUUCCUUGUUCACAAAGAAAUUAGUUCUAAGAAAAGUUAGAUUAGUGUUGUUAGUUUUUCACUUUAUUUGCCAAAUGUUCUGUGAAAAGAGAUAAUCAGGUUUUAUUUGUGUGUGUUUUGUUGGGUUUUUAAAAUUUUUUUUGUCCAUCUUUUCCUUGCUACUUAUCUCUUCCAACCAAGGAGAUCCACAGUAGUUUACUAUAGUGCUUUUCAUACCACCUUACUUUGUUGACUAUUUUGUUUAUUGGAUUUCUUAUUUAAAAUCUGUUUUCCUCUUUAAUUUCCUCUUCUUUAGCAGGGCUGCAUGAAGGUAAGGUGAGUCCCAAAGCUAUUCUAUCCUAAGUUCUGGUAUUUUAUAUAUAUAAAACUCCAGGGCUGAUGGCAAUGAUACCUGGGAUUAUUUAUGGGUUUUCAUAAAAAAGAAAGAAGAAAAUACAGAAUUGCAUGGCUUCGCUCUUCCUUCCCCUUUUCCCAACCCCCUCCCCACAGAGGAGUUUAAUUUUAAAUGAUAAAUGUGGAAAUUAGAGACCGUCGAGAAAAUCCAAUUUGGUGAGGAGUUUUAAAAAUCCCAUAAUAAACGCAGAGUGAAAUGUAUGAUUUAAUGCGGGGCGCCAAUGGCUGCUAUUAUGUGCUAUUAGCAAAUCGGGGUUGAGAGUGAAUCUUUAUCACUUGGUGAGUGCGGCUCGGCCUGCCUUUGCUGCUGCUAUUGAUUUGUAGCCGCUUGUCAUAAUGACAUCGGGAAGCAAUGAAUGGAAGAUGUGCUUUUGAUAGGAUUGAAGGGGUGCAAAGGGGGGAGAAAAAAUUCAGCAAGUUUUCUAUCUCUUCUGCCUGAUUAGAUUUUUUUCUUCUUUUAAGAGCUUUCACAUUCCAAUAAAAAUGCUAAAUCAGCUCUGAAGCAGAAUUGUUAGGGAGUAAAUAGCUGGUCACAUUUAAAAGAGGAAAAGAUCUGACUUUACAGCUCUGACUUUACAGCAGUGCAUGAAUCUGAAGAACAUUUCUGGCUCCACAUGGGCACAGCAGUAGGUGGUGCGAGGCCGGAGCCGCCGCAGCGCCGGUGCCGAUGUGUGCGCCGGGCUCGCGGUGCCGAUGCCGGUGUGUGCGCCGGGCUUGAGGUGUCGCUGUGUGGACCGGGCUCAUCCCUGCAUACGGGGAUCACAUCUCUGGGGUGUCGGUAUUUAAGGGGAGAGGAUGUUUCCUGACCUUAGAACCAGAAGUGCCUGAAACAAAAAACCCAGACCUUGCCAUAUUGCAGCAAAUAAUCAAGGUCUCCUUUGCAUCUGGGAAAGGAAGAUUUUUGCCACUUUAAUUCUAGGCAUUUUUCAUUGGCAACCUAACCCAAGGUUUCAUAGGAGGGAGUGUAGUUGCUGCAGUGUUUGCAGAAUGCAGCGUGCUGUGUUGGGGGUUUUCUGGAAGAUGGGCUCUUAGGAAACAAGAACAGGCUUUACCACCCAGCACAGGGUGAAUGUGAGCAAACCACGUGUGCCCAGGAGUGUGUCUGAGAACAAGUGUGCUCGUGGUGUCCCCAUCAAUCUGCGUUUCUGAUCAGCACAUUCAGGCCAUUUUAAUUCCCAGCCUCUCAACCAUUCUGCCCUCCCUGGGAAGGGGGGACCUGUGUGUGUCCUGAGGAGCAGAGCUCCACUUCGAGUUCCUUCUUAUGGGAGUCCAUACACAUCUGGUCUCAUUGCUGUUAUUGUUGUUAUUAUUAUUACUAUUAUGUGUGUCUGCUGUUCUGAAGAGCUGUAGGCUGAGUGAGGUUGUGACUCUGGCAUUCAGGUCAUCCCUUUUGGCCUGACCAGCCUCAGCUACUGUUAUUUAUGGAAACUUUCCCGGUGCAGCCGAAGGAACCUGAUUUCCAAGGCUCACUGUCAAGAGUAUGAAAUGGCAGAUUAGAAAUCAAUGCAGAGAGUCCAAGUGCCUACUUCAUCAUUCAGGAGAAAGAAAUACAGUAUUUCUGGUCUGAGCCUUGCACUCAUUAAAAUCACAUCCUUUAAAAACCCCUUUAAAUUAAAGCAAUGAUCCGUGGGGAUGGCGGGAAUGUUGCACAGAGGGAGUUCUCCCAGCGGAAAGGCUGGAGCAGCAUGCAGGUCUGGUGUGGUGGGACCGUCCCCCCCACCGGGUGCUCUGGGUGCUCCGGGUGUGCGCAGUGCCUGUGCUCAGGAAAGUUUGCUGUCUGAUGGAACUGUAACACAGCAAUGGGGGAACCUGAAGAUACGUGGAUAAGGGAAGAGCGAGACAGAGCCAUGGUGAGAGGUGCAGGCUGUGCGUGCUAGUGGCCUCUGAGAGGAGAUCAGUGUCCCGGGGGUCUCCUGGCCAGUGCAGGGGACAGGGGGGCUGAGGGCACCGGGACGGAGCAGAGGUGAGAGACCGCAGCAGCAGUGUCCACCAGUGGCAUGGGAUGGUGCCGAGGCAGCAACAGGACCAGAAAGACUCUGUCUGGGAUGGAGACAGGCAUUGCCAGGCUGCAGGAAGGCAGAGGAGCGAGCACAGACCCAGCACCGCUGAGCACAGACACGGGCUGUCACCAGCCCUGGCAGCAGAGCCACUUGGCAGCGCAACCAGGGCUCCAGCACCACGGUGAAAUGGGGCCCGAGAGCCCCUGGCAGCAGCCAGAGCCCCUGGGCUGUGAGCACCCUCAGCAUGUCCCGCUGCUCACAGCGACCGCUGAGAGGUCAGUGAGGAUUUAGGAAGGGUAACCUUGAGAGCAGGUCUGUACACUCUUCACUUCUAAAACCAGAAAAAAAGCCCUGCAUGGCCCGUCCGGUCCCGUGUUCUGUCUCCAGCAGCAGCAGGAGAGGAACCAUGGGGGACGGUGCUUGGAUCCAGCCAUGUCCCCACGUUCUCCCCGCAAGCUCAGCCGUUGCAUUCGGGACGCAGGACAGUGCAUCCCUGCUGGGCCCUCACACUUGCUGCGUUCCUGGCACUAGUGUCUGCUGGCUAGUCAUUCAUCCUCCCUUCUGAGAUGAUGAAUUUGUGUUAUUUUCCUUAUUUAUAAUUUCUUCCACCUUUCCUUGGAUUUUUAAAACACACUAAAGAAUCCAGGCCCCUGUGUACUUCCAUUAAGUGGCUGAUAAAUACUCCAAUUUUACUGGAGUUCUUUGCUCUUCCCUAAACCCUUUUGUGAUAGAUCCAGGUCAUGAAGGAAGCAUAUGACAAAGCUCAGAGUAGGAUCCAAGCCUUGUGACCUCUAGCAGAUGGACAAGACGGUCUUUAAAGGCAAUGUGCUGUUUGCUUCAUUAUGUGGUGCAGGAGGAAGAUAUUUUAUUGCAUGUUGGUAAAGCCAGGCCAGACGUCAUUGUGCUGCAGUCUGCUUUCUCUGUUCUCAGAUGUAAACCUGUGCUCAACGUCACGAGCUGCUGUCCUGCUGGAGAUAGCUACGUACUCACCACAGAGAUUCAGUGCAAAAUCUUGAUGCGUCUUAUGCUGCUUUUUGGCUGCAGACCAGAUGAGAUUACCACCUGACCUGUUGUUGUUCAGGAGCAUCUGUUGACCACGAAUGACAAAGGGUCGGACUUAUUAGGACUUAUUAGAACAGAGUAUUUCUAUAGGCAUGAACAAAACUGUGGGAUGCUUGGCUGGAUGGGAAGUGCUAUUUGGGUCCAGUCUUUCAUGGUGUUUGGUAAUAAGAUAACAACCUGAUUCUCUGCAUUUAUUUAUGAAAGUAAAUGGAGGCUAGGAAUCAACUUUGGAAAGCUUUUGGUGCUAAUGCGAUAUUGCUACUAGAGUGGUUGCUUGUGUGAUACUUCUAAAAAGAUGAAUCAGCAGAAGUACAAAAGGCAGCAUGCCAAACCGUUUUCUGUCUUGUUUGGUUGGCUCUUAGGUGCAAAUUUUAUGAUAGCAGUAGAGGAGGCUGAUACGACAACAGCUUUCAAACAUGAAGAAGCUGCUGCCAAGGGGAAGGGAAUAAUCUGUCUUCUAUGUUUAAGAAUUAAUGGCUUAAAUAGCAACUCGAUUAGAUCAGCAGCGCAGAACCUGAAGUCCCUGGACACCCGGGGUUCUUUUGAAAGCUCUCUGGUCCAUCUGUCUGUCUGUGUUAGCAGACGUGUGCGUUCUCCAGUUAAAUGUAACUGUUCAUGUUUUGAACAGUUUCAUAGGUAGAUUUUGGUUGUCAUCUUCAGGAACACAGCUGAAUGUGUACUGACACGAGCGACCCCAUCUGAGGAGACCUGCCCUGGGCAGGGAGUUGGACCAGAUGACCUCUGGAUGUCCUGUCGGCCCUCAAUCUUUCUGUGAUUUUGCAUUACGUGUUUUCUGAGAGCUCAGAGACACCUUUUGUGCGGAGGCAGGGAGAAGCCAACUUUGUCCCUGCUCGUGGCAGGGCUUGGACUAGAUGACCUUUGAAGGUCCCUUCCAACCCAAACCCUUCUGUGAUUUGUAUGUUUGGCCCCAAGGGUACUGGGGUUAAGUGGCCCACGGUGUGACCUUGAGCAGCCUGAUGCAAGUGGCACUAACUUCUGAUGGCUCCUUAGAUCCCUGUAAGCUGAGACGUAGUAAUUGUGCUGACCCCUUGCUUUGUUCUGGGACAAGGGCAAGGUGGUACAAGCCAAGCUUGACCUUGCAUGUUGGACUACAUGUAAAAUACACCAAGGCUUAAGACACAAGACACUAGUGAAACCUGGGCAUCUUUAAGUUUAUAGAAUUAUUUGGGGUAGUAAAGGGCAUUUUGGGAGUUCAAUUAUUUCUGUAACAGGCAUUGAUAUAAUUCCAGUUCCAAAUAAGAGAUUAAAAUGAAUAUGUUGUGGGGAGAAACGGACACAUGGAACUUCUUUUCUGGCAGCAAGGUGGGGAGGAGAAGGAGAAUUGUUGCAGCACCAUCUGUGGUCCUUGACCUGCACGCCCGAUGGUGUUCCUGUCCCCGCGGGUCCCAGAGGAAAAUGCGCUGUAAGAACAUGAGGGCAGCAAGGGUUUAGGUGUUUCCUCUCACCGUACAUUUGCCUUACCCCUCGUGUUCCUUUGCUCUUGUAUUUCAUGAGUCUGGCAUAAACCUGGACAUAGAAACCAUUGAAAUGGCGGUGGCAAGGUGAGCAGCAGCUUCCCAAACCAUAGCAGCAUUUUGGUAAGACUGUCGAGAGAAUGAAAGUGUGCAUCACCUGAACCAGUGUGCCCUUCUUUAUAAGCUUUUGUUUGGUUUUAAAGGGAGGAGGGGGGAGCGGACUUUAGCAGUAGCUUCUAAAAUUGUCUCUCUUCUUUCAGUAAGUACAGGUGAUGUAUCUUUGAUGGCUCCUAAAAGCAUAUUGAUCAUUGUCAAUUUGGAAGCUUUUAUAUAAUAACACUGUGUUUGUUGUAGAUGACAAGUUCAGGGAUGUUUAUUGAGUUACUGUCUGUUGGAAAAGGGUCUUACAGGUUCUCUGCUGUGCGGGGGCCCAAAGCUCAGUCCCACUGCACGUGAACCCCCAUCCCAGCACGGCCGGGGCUCUGCUGCCGAACGCGAGUGCGCAGCUCUGCACGGGGCUCCCAGCCCUCCGCGGGGACGAGAAUCUCCGACAGCAGAAACUGAGGAAAAUAAUCAAUUGGGAUAAAUCAGGAGUUGUCUUAAUCAUGAUCUUUUGAACGAGAUGCGGAAGAAAACCUCUGCAGGCAGUUACAAGGUAGCCUGUCCACUGCCAAACGUUCUUUCUAAUUCAUUCAAACAAACAAACCAAAACAAAACCAACAGAAAACAAAAACCAACCAACCAACCAAAACAAAAAACCCAAAACAAAACACACACACGCACACAACUAUCUUACACAAUCAAGCACCAGUGCGUUUGCAGCAAUGCCACCAAGGAAUAAUCAGGUGUUGUGGAAAUUAUUGUCUUGCAGUUGUACAGUUUUCAGGUUAGCUCAUUUCUGUCCUGGCAAUGUAAACAUUUAGAUAUUCAUGGUGUUUGCUGUAGACCCCUUCUUCGGACACUGAGGGUGCGGUUUCUGGAGCUGUUUGAACUGGGAGAACUGACCAUACUAAAGGGCGAGUUCCACUCGUGCCGUGUUCCCAGUGCUGAGACGGCUCCUGCCCCUCAUGCUGGCUCUGGAGCUCCGGCAGCUGGACCAGAGGUGUCCGGGUGAGACCUGAUGGGGGGCGAUGCUGCCACGGGGGGGGUGGCAGCACAUCCUCUAGUCCCUGGAGUUGUACAUGCACGUCAGAUCAAACCCCGAUAAAACAUCUGACAUCUGCUGAAGGGACCAGGACCUCGGUACUCACUGCUCUGGGGUACAGGGAUGCCGGGUGGACUCUCAGCUAUUUUUGGUGAUGAAGGAUUGUGGCGUUGAACUGCCAGGCAGCGCAGCAGCCAUACAUCACGUCAGCAAGCGCUUGCUCCACGUGGCUGUGGGAGGCGACGAUUCCGUGGGACACAAGCCAGCACUCGUGAGCAUCCCCUGGCUGUGCGUCUGUCCAGGCGGCCAGGAGGGACGCGUCAGCAGCAGCCUCACUCGCAGGCUGCCGGCAUGACAAAUGUUCCUUAAAGGAGUCCAUUAAAGUAAAUUAAACCCAUCUUAAUGUAAGUAGGGGACAUAUAUAACAAAAUAUACGAAGCACGUGUGUAUUUGCUGUAUUUAAAACCUGAAUUUGUGAGAAUGGCACAGCAUCUACUUUGUAUAAGGUACAUUCAGAGCUGCUCAGUGGGAGACACUGUGCCCGGAGACGAUUUGUUCUCUUCUGAAAUAUGUUCACGUUCUGAGUUAGGUACGUAAGAUCCAGGACGACAGAGCACUUGUUUUCACGGAGGUGUGAUCCAGCUUUGGAGCAGGCACGGCAUGCUGCUCGAGGCUAGGCAGCUUUUCCAGUCCUGACGCCAGGUGAGGAGCUGUUUACUGUGGCACAGCCAGGCUGUUCACCCACGGCGGAUUAAAUGUACAGAUAAUUGUCAUUCUGCAGCAUUCUCUCUGAAGGUUCACACAACUGCCCUGACAUUCCUGUCUCUUCCUGGUACCUUCAGGAGGCAGCUGGGUGGAUGCAGCUCCACACUGUCCUGGCUCUGAAGAGCUGCUGCUGUGGAGCCGCAUCCAUCCGUGUGACAGACACAUGGUGGGGCAAGGCAAGUGUCUCACAGGUAUGACAGCAGAUGUGAGAAGUCAUCCAAGUCAGGUCCUGAAGCGACAGGCUGUGCACACCUUGUUCCCCGUGCAGGAGCCCCGCAGCUGGGACGCAAUCUGUCCUGGAAUGGCAAAAGCAAAGCCUGUCUCUGUUGGAAAAGAGGCAAUCUCCUGAAGGAGGUCUGCUUGGUGGGACUGCCUGUGCACCAGCACGGCUUCAGAAGCAGAAAUCAUCCAGCUGGAGCUGGGCAGCACAUUCUCUGUCUGUCAGCAAGGUUGUAACACUUUGUUUAUUGAGACAGUGUAAGGCCCUUCUCAAACACUUAGGAAAGGGAUUCAGAGUGCAAAAUGUUACUAGCAGGUCUGUGGGGUAAGGGGAUAAACAGGGUGAGAAUGUUCUCCAUGUCCUGAAAAAGAAGGUGAGGUGGAUGCCUUGGGGGUUGGGGACCUGGUAACUUCGCAGCAAUUCCAGUGAGGUUUCAUGUGGGGAGGUGGCGGGGAGGAGACGUCACAACCCAAGCAUGAGUGAUCUGCCCAUCACUCUGGUGUAACUCCAUCCAUGCCUCGGGAGCAGGGAAAGCUGCAGCCCUGUCCCCAGUGACAUCGCUACAGCAGACAAGGGGAACUGAGGAACGAGAUGGGCCCUGGGUUUCAGCAUUAGAAACAGGUGUCAGUGGAGUCGUGUGAGAGGGGCAGGCAGGAAAGGGAGAAGAGGAGCUUCAGGUCCAGCAGUGCUUACUUUUCAAGCAAUACAAAACCCACUGAAACGCCUGGGUGGAAGGAAGAGAGUCGGUCAUGGAGCGGGGAAUCUGGAGCUAAGAGUGCUGACAGUGCCUGGAGACAGGGGAUAAAGACCUAAGGAGCAAAGGACCAAAGAGGGAAUGCAGACUUGAAAGUAUAUCAAGUCCUGGGUCAGUGAGUUAUGUCACAUAUUGAGGUGUCCUGAUGGCCCAGUGGGGCUGACCAAGAAGGAAAUGAGCACAGUACUGAAGUCUUCAGCAAGAGAUGAGAAAAGAUCCAGAACAGACCAUUGUGUCCUGCAAACAGCUUGUCUGUGAAAUGGGGAAAGAUCCUUGCUACCAGUAGCCUUAAAGAUGUUGCAGUGUCUUCCCUGAUUUUAGGACUGCAGGGAAGGAGAGUGAUAGAAUAAUACUUGGUAAAAUCACUUGCGUAAAUAAACCUGUUUGAGGGGUAAAAAUGUCAUGUGUGCUGGUAUGGAGACUGAUGAGAGCUGGACUGCAAGAAAAGAACAGUGAAGCUCAGCAGAUCUGGUCUUGGUUUGGGCAUCGUGCUGCAGGACUCUGGCAGCGCUCAGUCCUUAGUGGGACUGGUGACCAGCGUGGGGGAGCGUGUGUGGCUGGUUCUGUGCUCCUAGGGAGCAACCGCCCUUUGCUGGAGAUGGUCCUGAAGAUAAUGGGCUCUGGGCUCUUGAGAGAGGGACCAUUCAAACAAUUCGUCUAGAACUAAUGGGGUUUGUGCCUUUGAUUGGACUGUGCUUUUCUAUAAACAUUCUGUGUCAGCCUAAAAGUCUGGUGAGAUCUGAAUUGUAAUAAUUUCCACACAAGACAACAAAGGUUGCUAUUUAAACCGAAAUUUAGUCUGAUAUACCCUUCCUGGCAAAUAAGCUUGAAUAAUUACUGCAUUUUAACAGUAAAAAAAGUAUCUGUCUUAAUUACAUUUCAGAUGAUUAAAAUCUACCACCUUGUCUAACUGCAGAAAGAACAGCUGGCAAAAUGAGGUUUCUCUCUACAUCCUAAAUGGAAUCUGUCUUCACCAACUCCAGUUAUCUCUUAGCCUGCUUAUUCCUGUGUUAAUUAAAGAUGGCCCUUCACAGGGAGUUAAUUGAGGCAAGGAGGGAGGCAGUGGCUCCGCUCACGCUCCCGUGUCCCCUCCGUCCCCCACAGACACCGCACUGGGUUGAUGCCUGGAGGAGACGGUCUCUGCGGGAUGGCUGGGCAGGGACUGGCGCUGGCUGGGGAGGGACUGGUGCUGGCUGGGCAGGGACUGGUGCUGGCUGGGGAGGGACUGGUCCUGGCUGGGCAGGGACUGGCGCUGGCUGGGGUCCUGCAGGUGGAUUGCAAAGAGCAUGAAUUCUAGAGUAUAGAGUCACUUCCACUUGGAAGCUUCAGCCAGCCCACCAAACCUGAAAGUGUGGGACAGCUGUCGGGAUCAGCUGUGACAUGACCAAAGGUGUCAGCUCGUCCUACAUUAGAAAUUAUUUCUAGGCCUUGGGCUGGCUUCACAAAAAUAAAAAACAAUCUGGAGAAACUUUCAUCUCCUCUAGUAAUAAAACAGCAAUCACCCCCCAAAUUACUCUAACUUCUGUAUUCUGUGGAAAAAUGAGACCUGUCCUUUUCACAAAAGAAAAACCGCACACUUUUAUUGUCAGCCGCCGUCUCCCCAGUGCCUGCAAACACGAAGGUGUUCCUGUCCUCAUGGGCUGUGAUCUGUUUGUUCCUCAGCCUCUGCAAAUCUCAGCUGUCCUUUGUAAAUGUGCCAGGUCUGUGAUGGAGUGAGCUGCUUUCCUCCAAACCUGGCCAGGCCGGAGCCCUCGAGUCCGUCCGGAGGAUUGCUCAGAACAGGGAAGCUGGUAGCUGGACUGUCCAGGGCUUUUCUUUUUUGGGGGGAAGGAGAGGGCUUUGCAGAGAGAGGAAUUUCAGUCUGAAUCACAGACUAUAAUUUUGUUCGAAAUCUAAGAGCAGACACAGUGAAAAACUGAAGAGGGAAGUGUCUUGAACUCUAAAAAUUCCUGAACUUCCUAUAAUAGAUCUCUGUUUAAAAUAAUGUGAAAAAUUAAGUCUCUCUAAGGCAUUGAAUCAUGUGCGUUCCCAUGAGUGCUCAGCAUGUGUCUGCACUCCACAUAUCCCACCAGAGACUGUCCCUCCUACGUUGGCUCUGGGCUGUCGUUGCAGCAGGAGCCUCGGCGGGUCCUGCAGCAUCUCAGCUCUGGAGUUUCAUAGCUGGCUUGGUGAUUUUAUAAAACAUUUGUGUUCUCCAUACUUUAUUAGUCACUGACAGACUCAUUGUUUAUAACAUAUUUCUCAGCAAGCUGUUUGCGACUCAUCGCCCUGCUUGCUUUAUAGUCUAUAAAUAUUUAAUUCUUUAAUAAACUGCUUAUAUGUAAUAUCAAAUGACUGAUGUACUUCUUUCCACUCUUCAGCAGUGCUACUAUUUGCAAAACAAUUCUUUUGGCUUUUUGAAUAGCAAUAUGUUCCAUAAAUGCUUGAAUUUCCUUUUUCUAAAUAGCAGUUUCUUCAGGGUAUUUGGUAAACUGACAGGCAGAGCAACGGUUCCUGCACUGUUGCAAGAGCUGCCCCUUCCUAAAGCCUCCACGGGGAGAUUCGCUUCCAGCUGGUCACAGACUUGUAAUCAGGGAAUGUUUGGGACAUGAAGGUAACACCCCCCACCCGUGCAUGUCAGGAGGCGGCAGCAGCCGGUGCAGCUGGCAGCCCCGCAGAGCAGGUCGGUGUUUGCAGAGCAGGGUGCCGGCCCUUUGGGGAAUGGCAGAGGGAGCAUCGCCACCCCUCGCUGCAUCGCCACCUCCUCUGCCUCCUGCGGAUCUGCUGCACGAAUGGCAGCUCCGUGCUCGUUGUUCCACCCAUGGUCUCCUUCCUGCUCCUCCUCCGUGGGAGCACUCGCAGAAACAGUGACUCUGACUUGGCUUUUUGUCCUGAGCUGCUGGACUCUAUCUUCCCAGGGGUUGUCUGGAGCACCAACAGACUGCUGGUGCUCUUCUGGUGGUUCUCAGCUUCUCCUGCCCUUGGCCUCCUCCUGUCCUGGUGUUGGAUGCUCUUUUGCACAGCGUUGGAUGCUCUCCUGCAUGGUGCUGCAUGCUCUCCAGUCCUGGUGCUGGAUGCUCUCCUGUGCGGUGUUGCUGCUCUCCUGCUCGGGCGGAGGGGAGACUGCCUGGCUGUGCUGUGCGGUUGGAUUGUCCUCAGUGUGAGCAGGGGCAGGGGACAGUGUGACUGCACCCCCAGCUCUUCACCUCCACACCUCACAUCCCACCUGAAGGCAGAUCCGUGUUAAGGCUCCUGCCUCAUUAAUCCCUUCACCUCCCUGAUGAACGGGGCUCUCAGCGAGCAAGGGCUCUGUUCAGGCUGAGGUCUCUGCUGUGCUGCCAGGGCAAACCAGGCUGGAAGGAUUCAGGACCUGCAGCAAUGACCAGGGCAUAGAGUCACUUGGUGUUUCUUUUGGUUGUUCCACAGUUGCAGGCUCCAUGCGUUCUUUGGCAGGCAGCCUCUGUACUGAGCUGCCUUGAAGCUGGAGACCAGAAAGAUGGGGCAGGGUCAGGCAGCACCUUCUGGGCCAGCAGUGUCGCGGUUCUGGGGUCAAGAAGCGAUCAGCUGGGGUGGACAAGGUGGAAGUGAUCUGCUCAGCUCACUCCAGCUCAUCGUGGCUGCUCGGCUCCUUACCGUAGACCGGCUUUGGGCUGCUCGCAUGGGUCCAGGUUGAUUUUAGCACCCAAAGUCCUUUUCAUUGGGAUGGCAAUAUGUCUUAGGCAUGCCUUUGAAAGGGCUGUGUGGUCAUGGACAGGACAUUCACUCCUAACUUCCGAGUUAGGUUGGUGAUUGGGUUAACCCUUGUGUCCUGAAUUGUUGCAUGCUGUUGGAAACUGCAAGCAGAGAGAGCCUGGCUUUGAGAUUAUUGCCCAGAGGCAGCACUGGUGUCCUGGUUUUGAUUAGAACGGGCAGGCUGUUGCCUUCUGCUCAAUCUCAGGUGCGUUUGCAGAGUGUGUGUGUGACAGGGUUGCAGGGGGCACGGGGGCGGACGGCAGCUGCACGGGCCUGUAGCUGGGCCUGCGUGGGGCAGCAGCGUCCAUCUGCUGUGGUCACCGCAGCCCCUGCACGCUGGUCCCGAGGCAGGCAGAGACCAGAGCACGUUCCUGUCUGGGGCUCCCAGUGCUCCCUCUAGACAGGGCCUGCUGAGGACACCUGGUCACUGUCUGCUUAGAGCCUCCCUUGGUCAGGUUCUGGUGCCACCUCUGUGCCUGUGUACUUGUCACGUCCAGUGAUACCAUUCUAAGAAAAGUGGAUGCCAGAGGACCUGCCCAGCUCCUGGUCUCUGUCCCUGGCUGGCACGGUGGCCAGGCGCUGUCGGCUCCGGGCCCAGCGGCAGCGCAGCCCCAUGUCCUGCUGACCCCGUGGGGACGUGGCCAGGCCCCGGGUGCUGUGUUGGGCUCUGUCCCUCGGGAAGCGCCUGUGUCCGAGACCACCUCCCGGCUGCCACGGACCCUCCUUUGGUCUGCGGCAUUGACACGUCUCCCUCUGGUCCCUCUCAUCCUGCCCCCUCCCACCACCUGGAGAUUUCCAGGUGGAAACUGGGCACCAUGUCGCAGCCAGCCCCCGCGCUCGGCCUCGGGCAGCGAGCGUGCCUGCUGCCCUGGUGCAAGCGUGAGCGGUGAUAAAUCAGUAAAUCAGGCGGUGGGCUGUGCUAUUCCCUAAUGAGCCUGUUUGUCCCAAGCACAAUGCAAAAGACCCUCUUCUCCUUGGCGAUAACCUUUCUGCAUGUUAACAUUAUGCAUGUAUUCAUGUGACUUCCUCUGCCUCACCACCACCUCUUCAACUCAUUUAAAUAAAAAUAAUUUAUGUGGACAUUCCUUCAGUCAGGAUUCCCCCCCCCCCAAUAAUAUUUCAUUGGUGCUGUGCACCCAAAUGGGGUCGUUAUGCUUUUGCAUAUCAUUAGGGCUUUAUAAAGAACAACAGCGACAUCUGCAUGUGCUGCAGCGCUACAGAGAUGGGGGGAAAAACAAGGAAAACAAACCCCAAAUGAGCUCCAAGCUCGUCUGACUCUGUCUUUCCUCAGUGCCUUCGCCACCACCAUGGACACAAGUAAUUGUACAGUGUAAUCACAUCACGGCUCAUCUGAAUAUUCAUAACCAAGACAAAGACUUGGAGGAGAAGAAAAGUGGGGGAGGGAAAGGAGGAGAAUUUAAAUAUAAAACAGCAUUUCAUUUUGAAGCAAAGUUCCGCAUUCAGCUCAAGAGAUUGUCUCGAUACCGUUUCUGUCUGUCUGCCCUUCGGAAGCGGUGGGCAGUGGUAGCACCGCGCGCAGCCCCCUCCGCCGAGAAAAAAAAUGAAGCACAACAACAAACAGCGACAGAACUGCCCCCAGCGAAAAGUGAUAUUUGAAGAGUCGCCAACGGUGGGUAACCAGCUGCUGUUUUUCCAGGAAAGAAACAGUCUAUUGAGGGAGCUUUAUAAAGACCCCAAUUAAUAUGUUGUGCAUGUCUAAGAUCUACAAAGAGCCCACUGUGUUCCUCCCCCUGCAACCACCACCUUCUCUUCCUGAUCAGUGCCAGUGGAGAAGGAUCUGAGCUACCAAAUAAUUGAUUAAUCACUCCAGCGGUGACAACACCCCUCUCCAAAAUAAAGAGAGAAGAAAAACAAACACAAAAAGAGGCAACUGUUCACUAAUUAGUGUGUAAGUUACCGCUGGUUCCAUCCUUCUUUGUACCUUCAAAAAGGAAAAGAAAAAAGAGUAGAGAAAUAUAAUCCCCAUCUUAGUGUAUAUGUUGUCUUCAUUUCUUUUGUAUUAUUCUCAUAUCCUUUACUAGUGUUAACCCAGCGGUGUGGUGGCUGUCGAAGCUGUGGCUGGCUCUGCCAGUUCGUUCCCCAAAGAGCUCCUAUUUCCAUUCCACUGGAGCUUAUAUUCCUUUAAAUGUCUAGCGCAGCAUCAUUUCCCCCUCUCUAAUACAUCACUCUGCUGGAAUUAGAAGAAUCCAAGGUUAUAUCCAACUUCAAAGGUUUCCAAGUCAUCGUGAUUUUAGUGAAAGUAGAAGACAGAUGAUGGAACAAGUCCCUGGUUUGAAGAUAGGCAUCGCAGGGACCUUCCUCCCUCUCUCGCGCUCCCUCUCCCCCCAACUUUGUACCUCUCCAGCUCUGAAUGUCCCGCGCUAGCGCGGUUUAAUGAUAUGCAAAUGAAAUAUGCAUAAAACCAUUCUACUGUAUGAUGAUUAAACACUGGAGACAUUAACAGCCGGCGCUUCGCUGUUUGACUAUAAUAAUCUUUCCCGAGCAUCCACUUUGAUUGCGGAGUUAUGGAAACCCAGAGCAGUUGGCAGAGAGAGAGUACAAGAGAGAAGGACGGGGAGAUGCAGGGACGCAUCACCCAUCUCUGCAUUUAUCCCACUCCAGGAGACAUUUCCCCCCCUUUGUAUUGCGUUCCUACUGCUGUCUUUUGUAAUCCAUCCGUGCGGUUGCACCAGGGCGAUUAACGGGGAAAAAAACCUCUUUUCUCUUAAUGUUUCAAAGCUCAUUAGCCAAACGAUUAUUCCUCAUUAACAGCGAAAGCUCAUUCAUUAAAAGAAAAAAUAUGCCCAAAAGAUGCCAGCGCUGUUAAUCCUGAGCCCUGUAGCUGGGCUGUAAAUCCCAUGCUAAUAUUUUCCAUACAGAAGGAAAGCACGCCAAUCCACACCAAAAAAAAAAAAAAAAACAACACAAGAAAAAGAAAACAUUUUGUAUGUUUUGUAAAAUCCGCAAGAGAGGCAAUUAAUAUUCCCAUUGUACGACUUUAUUUUUUGUGUCUCCCUUUUGUUUCCAGUGCCCGUCGCUGGCUGAGCGCCCGGUGCCCACAGCACACUGCAGGAUCCUCGGCAGCGCAGACCGUGAGUAGCCGCUGUCCCUUGACGCCCCGGCCCCGCGCUCGCUGCCCUCCGAGAGCCACCUGGGCGGCACGAGGAGCACCUUCCAAACCUCUGUCUUCAAGUUUGUGCAUGUCUGUGUGGCAUCCCUCCUCCUCCUUCACUCCCAUAGUGGAUCUUGUGAAGGGCUUCAGAUCGGCCCCAUUCAUCUCCCUGGUGAUAGCAGUGAAUGUAGAUAAAUCUCUGCCUGCCUGCUUGCUGCUGGAGUAUGAUUUUUAUUUUGUCUUCUGUGUAUACCUAGGUCAAAAAGUGGGAUGUAUACUGACGUUGGGUGAGUGUGUAUGUCUGUGUCUUUCUCACUGUGUCUUUCUCUCUCACCCAAGCACACAAACAUGCAUCUCCCUGCAUGUGUGUAUACGACACGCGUGCACACACACAGACAUCCCCAUGCAGACGUGUGUGUGCACAGCGGCACACGCACAGCUCCGUCAUACACCCCACGCUCACACACCUAAUCUGCAGUGAUCUGAGGCUUUUUUGUGCGUGUGUGCAUGUGUGUCCAUGCACGCUGCUCUGUGUGCGAUGUGCAUACACAGGAUCUCUCGCUACAGCGAUAAACAUUCCCUCUCCUCCCAGCAGAGGCUGUAUGCAGCUGUGAUCCUGCCCUAUAAGAGCGGUAUUCCUUCCUUCCCUCCUUCGCCGUGCUGUUCCGAGACCUUCACGCUCCCUUCUCGGAGUCUCUCCCGAGCCGCAAAAUUGGCACCUUUCCCUGGAGUUGUCCGAAUGGCAAAUGGCACCGUCUGCAGUUCGCAUUCUUGCAGCUUCUUAUGGCAUUUUCAUGUCGGCUGCUCCCUUUUGUUUGUUGUUGACUGGGCUGGGUGUGGUUGGUUUUGGUUUUUUUUGGAGUUAAUUGUAAACGAACCUGAAUGGCAAACACGCCAACAGCUUGCGGGGGAAAAAGAAAAGGCAAAAAAAAAAAAAGCCGCACGCAAACGCCUUCUGCUGCGACAGAUGCCCGUGUUGCCCCUGGCAUGGAGAACGGGCACAAGGGGUUUGCUGUUGAGGUUUUUUCUGUUGCCGUUUUUAUUGUUCUUAUUUCCCUUUGCCCUUUAUUUUUAAAGACUCCAAGAUGCCGGCCUCGGCUCGGAACGGAGCGGUGUCAUGGCGGAGACGACGGCCUUUGUCUCGCAGGGUGUGAAAGCAUCCGUUGUGCUGGCUCCACUGCGGCAGAAUGACGUUUGAAGGGGGGAAAAAGUGCAAAAAGUCCGAGUUGCAUGGCGCUGGCAGGGGAGCCCACGGCGUCUGUCCGAGGAAGGGCUGGCGGCGGAGCCCGCUCUGUAAUCCUGGCACUGCUGCGGUGCUGCCGGCCGUGUGCUCCUGGCUCUGGAUAAUCUCCCUGGGCUCUCCCGCGCUGUCUGGCCCGCGCUCAGGGCCCCCGUAACAUAUACCCGCUGCCGCGCGCAGAGCCGUGGCGUUGCCACUGAAUGGAUGGCACCGUGCCAGCUCCGCUGCCAUCCGCCCUUGCAGCUCUUUCCUCCCUCCUCCCUCCUGCUCUCCCCUCCUCCUCCUCCUCCCGUCGACUUGACGUUAAUUAACACACGGGUUAAUUGAUUUUAAAAGCUGAAGAAUUACAGUUAACUUUUCCCACAGGGUAGGGACGCCAGCCGCCUGGCACAGCUCUGCGCUCACUGGUGCAGGGGGGCAGGGACGAGCCUGCAGCCCAGCCAGCACCGACGGGGACGGACAGACGGACAGCUGCCUGUUGGAGUGUGGCUGGGGGCGGCUGGCACUCCCACCUCAUCCUCCCCACAUGUCACAGCUAUAUUUUGCUAUAAACAAUCACAGCAUCCCCCUCCCCUAGCCUCUCCCUCCAUCCUUCAGGAAGACAAGCUCUGUCCAAGUUCAGGCAGGGGAGCUGUUCACCCCACAUGGAGCUGUUCACCCCAGAGGGAGCUGUCACCCCAAAUAGAGCUGUUCCCCCAAAGGAAGCUGCUCCCCACAAAAGGCUCAUGGCAGCACAGAGGGACCAGCUCCUGGGGGUCCCGCACCCCAGGCCCCCACCCCAGCACCCGCGGGGUUGCUGUCUGUCACCGCCCUGCGCUCCGGGGCUCCUGUUCGGAUCCUUAAUUGGCUCAGAUACGUCGCUUGGGGUGAAGCAUCUCAAUCAGGGGAAAGUUAGUUCCUUGUAAUUAUGAGACAAAUAACGCGUGUGAGGGCUUUGUUGUUUUGCUUUCGCUCUUCUCGCCCCAGUCUCUGCGGCAGGUGGGGGUGAGUGACGGUGUGGCUGGGAGGAGACGCGACAUCGCUGGGAACUUGCUGCUUUCACCUUCUCCUGCUUUCAUUUUAUUUCAUUUUGUUUUUUAAAAGCAUGAAGCAAGUGAAGCGACGAGAGGAAUCCAUUAUGCAAAUCAGGUCACAUUUGCAUAAUGUCUCAUGACUGGAAUAUGCAAAUGAGUUGUAUAAUUUAUGAGUGCCAGUGUCUGUCUAAAAGUGUUUCCCAGAAUUUACAAAAAGUGAGACGCGGGGAGGGCAGCUGGGCUGGCUGCCCUGCCAGGAGGGCUCUGCGCUUUCUUUUCAAAGUCUUCCUGGAGAUCAGCAGCUCAAAAGCUCCUUAAUGAGAAACAAUCCCCCUUCCCACCCUGUCCCCUUGGUUUAUUUUGCGUUUCUCCCUCUGCCAAGCCCCUACCUGCUCCCUCCGAACUUCUCCAGCAGCGUUGGGCUGGUCUGGGUGCGGGAGCCCUAAGCAGAGCUCAGCCCGAGCCCUCGGUCCCUGGGCACACCAGAGGCUGCGCUCGGAGCUUCAGCAGCCACGGGGAUUCCUGCUGAUCUGCAACUGAUCUGCAACACGCCACGGCCAACUUGUGCUCGAGUGAGAGACCUGCGCUCGACCUUCAAGGAGCCGCAAGGUCCCCGACCCUGCAGGGCUGGCAGUGCCACCGGAGACGCCUGGGAACUCCUGCACGGAGCCGGCAGCCUUCAGCUUCAGCACCAAGAAGGCCUCUGGAAGAUAUGGAAUCAAGACUUUACCUUUUUUUCCCUCUCCUCUGUGUGUUUGGAGAUCAGGCGCCGCAGGAGAACGCAGGAUGUCCCCGGUGCUGCUGGCAGCCCAGUUGUGCUCAGCAGCUCCAAGGGGUACGGACAGGUGGGCCUGGGGGUCUCGGUGAGAUGUCUGCGGUGUCUGUCCCCUGCACGUUCCCUCACUGUGUUACUGGGCAGCUCUGGAGAGCCCCUUCCCCGUGAAACGAGGCUGCUGCAGUCGCUCCUGAGCGCUGGAUGCUCAAGAGCAGAGGAUCUAUCAACUGCAGACCAGGCAGAGGGAGCGGCAGGCAGAACCGCAGCAGAAUCACAGCCGGAUCCAGCAGCUCAGCCCGGACCCGGACACCAGCCGCCAGCUGCAGGAGGGGCCCCAGGCAGGUAGGGGAAGACACCAGCCCGCGCUCGCUCGGCAGCCCAGCCUGGGAAGGGAACUUCAUUGAACGCAUUCACAGCAGCACUGACAAUCUACUGUUCUCAUUUACGUAGCAGCAUAAGGAAGGGCUACAGAUGGGAAAGCAGAGUUUCUCAACUCCCAGUGAGGAGGGGAAAGUCCAGGGAACCGGGAGGCAGCUGCGGCACUGCUGACUGUAAAUAGGUGCUGGGAUUGUGCUCGAUUUGAGGGAGUGACUGCUGUGAUGCACAGACGUGCUGGGUGCUGCUCCUGCUGCUGACCUUGGUGAGAAGGGAACGGGGUGGCCGGCAGAGACGGUGCCUCCCAGACAGCACUGUCCCGGCUGCGGGUGCAGCAAUGUGCAGGGAGCAGGAGAUGAGGCUUGGCCAGACCUGUCAGCUCUGCUGCUGGGGAUGAAAUCCCCAGUCUGCUGCAGGACAUGCAGGCAAUUGGGGUAAGAUCUGAGAGAAGGCCUGUGCAGUGCAGGUGCCCAUUGUCCCCGUGCCAGCUCUGUCUGCCUGGCCCUGCUGCAGCUCCUCGUCCCAUCCCCGCAGCUGCUGCGAGUUGGAGUGUCUGCUCAGUGAAUUCUGUUCCUUUAUGUCAGCCUGCUUGCAGAGCGCGGGGCUCCCCGUCUCACAGCCACAGGCUGCCCGACGUCCCCUCGGGCACCGCUGGUCCUGAGCAGAUUUUGGUCACAAGCUGCCACUGAGAUCCAGGUGGCAAACAGCAAAGAGUGCUGACCUGGGAAUGCGUGCUGCCGCCGCUGCUGCACGCGGCGGGAUCGCCCGCUGCACCUGUGUCCUCCACAGCAGCACUUCCCAUCUCUUUCAGCACCCUAUUAGCCAGAAAUAUUAUGUCUAUUUUAACAACUUAAUAGUUGUUAAAGACUAAAGCAGGUACUCCUGAUGUUGGAAUCCCAGGUACCAGCAUGCUGGACGGUUGGAAUGAGCUCAGCACAGCUGGUUUGUCUGAGCGGCAGGUCAGAGGCAGCAUUUUAAAAUGGGGUGAGUCCCUUACUAUUCAAAGUGGAAACAUUUUAUUUCAGUUAAUUUGGUGAUGAUGAAGAUGUUAUAUGAAUAUGAACAUAUACAAAAAAUAUACACAUUGCACCAUAUAUUAAUAUGAUGCAAUUAUUUUGUUUAUUGCAUUUGAAGGAAAAUAAAAGAGAUGUUGUUCUGUUUGCUGCCAAGUCAUCCAUUGUUCUCUGUGUGUGAAGAGCCAGCACAGUGUGGGCUGGACGUGCUGUGAGCCCACAGGAGGGCUGGGAGUGGGAAGUUUGUGUGUCUUUGUCCUUGGGUGUGAACAAAUGAGUGUGUCAGUGCAUGCCUGCAUUUUGUUCUCACGUUUUCUUCUCACCAGGCGACCAGGUGUUGAUUUGUGCAAGGACAGUGUGGCAGGGCAGGAAUCACACUUCUGUUUCUUCUUACAGUUACACUGUCUUAGUUCCUUCCCAUCCCUCCAUCUCUUUAUACUCAGUUCAGCUGAACCUCCUGCUCGUUUUGGUGAGAAAUUGACAGAUAAAACAAUCCAGCUCUAAACUUUCUCUUACAAAAUUUCUAAUUAAAGUGCUGAACAUAAAGCCCCAUUACAUAAAAAUAUAACACUACUCUGGGUCAGAACAGUGUUCCACCCGGUUCUGUGUCAGUGCAUGUAGCAGCUUAUCCCCGUGUCUGGGAAAAGCUCUUUUCCAUGCAGAAAGCAGGGGCAGCUGGUGACACUGCCCCAGGUGCUCGCCCACCUCCUUCCUCAGCCCCAAAGGAGCCUUCAACAGUCCUUGAGGAAUUUUCCUCCAUAACUCAUCAAACUGGCUUUGUAACUCACCUGUUAUCCGGCUUUUGCAAUGUCGUGUAGUAUCGAGUACCACUGCCUGACCAUGUGUGGGACACAGAGCUGCCUCCUUUUGUUCAUUUUGAACCUGUCCCUCGACACUUUCUGUUGUUUUAUUGGAAGAGACCACAAACAGUCAUUCUUUAGUCACCUUCCCUGUGACACUUAGGAUUUUAUAGAUCUCUGUCAUGUUUCCUUUCCAUCAUCCUGUUUCCAGACAGAAGGGCCCCAAUCUUGGUUUGCUUUGUUUUUUUUGAGCCGGACAAGUUGCCGAUAACUCUCCCGGUUUGGGGGCUCUGGGCUCCCAUGGCUGUGGUCCCGGGAUGCCUGUCGGUGGCUGCAGAUCCCAGAAGCCUCUGCAAGGAGUGUCGGGGUGAUUUAGCACCGGGAGCAUGAGUUAUGGUCCUGCCCUUUGCAGAAAGGCUCGCAGCACAGCCCUGCCUGUCAGCUGGGUCCCCACCUGACCAUGAGCUCUCCUGGUGAAUGAAUCAGGAUUUGCCAUAUCGUUGUUUAAUACAGCCCCCAUGCUAAUGUCUUUUUGAAAUGAAACCAAGAAAGCUGUUAACCUCAGUUAGCCAGCUGUCCUCACCGUGACCUGGAUAAAUCAUCAUAGCAGGAGCUUUGAAGAACACUGCUCGUGCUGCUUUGGAAAUGGAGCUGGAAAGGCAGGACAGUUCUUCCAGCUCGUGCCAGGAAGGUUUCUGCGCAGCGAAGGGCCUGGUGUGUUCUCCUGCCAGGGACUCUGCGCUGCUCCCACUGGGUGUCGAUCCUGGGGCUCAAAAGGCUGGAGAACCCCCGUGUGCUCCCCCGAGAGCCCCGGCCUGCGUGGCCCAGGGUCACCCAGCAGCCAACACAUUCUGAUGUCUGCUGGAAAGAACAAGUAGAGCCUGAAGGGUGUCAGUGGGUGAGGAAGGCUCCGACACCCCAUCUGUGUGACAUGUGCUGCUGUGCCGUGAGCCUUGGCCUCAGCGCUGCCGUCCCACCCGCGGCGGUGAGCACGAGCCAGUGAGGCAGAGAUGGGAGCACAGAUCUGCUAUCAGAACUUUUGGAUUCAAUUUCCUUCCUCAGCAGAAUGUGCAGUUUCUUACAUGUGCUGCCCUGAAAAUGAGUUGUGUGCAACACGGCCGUCAGUCAGAGACCACCAGCAGAGCGAGGGAGCGCGAUGCCGUGUGCUGCUGUCCAGUGGCUGGCCCAUGGAAGCAUCUUGACUCUGCUCCUCCGUGGCUGCAGGAAUCUCCUGUCCUUUGCCUCCCUCCUGCUCUUGCAGUCGGUCAUGGAGCUGCAGCAGCUGGAAAGGCACAACUGCCAGGGUCUCAGCGGUGGAUCCAUCCACUUUCUCAGUAACAGCAGCGCAUCUCGCGGGAGAUGCACGUUGUCCCCACAGAGCCCCACGCUGAGCAGCAGUGUGUUUGUUCUAAGCAGCACUCGCUUGGAUUAUGGGUCCUCAGUGGGAGGCUGGAAUGUGCACAGCCAUACACCACACCCCAUAUACCACACACUGUGUAGGAGGACACAGCAGCUCACACAGACACCCCAGCGCUGUCAGCAGACAGAUGAGGCCAGAAGCACUGUACAGACAGACAGAGCCAGAAGCAUGAGACAGACAGACUGGGCCAGAAGCAUGGGACAGCCAGCGGGCAUGGCCGGCAAGGGAACAGUGGUAGCUGUGCAGACCAGUACCUGGGUUUGAGACUUGUGCUACAGUACAAACGUUAAAGAGGGAAUAAAGAAAACAGCAGAGCAUUGGCGAAAAUGGGCUGUGAGGCUGAUUUCUGUCUGUGCAGCCUCUGAAGAGCAGCCUGUGGGGCUAUGGAGAACCGGCAGCCCCCGGGCUGUGCGGCUCACGUGGAGCCGUGGCUGUUUGUGUAGCUGCAGAGCCUUCAAGAGAGACUUGGGAAAACCAGUUUGGAUUCCAAUGAAUAUUUACAAUUACACUGCUCCAAAGCUGAAUCCAAUCACAGCGCUGCAGUAUGCAGGCUUUGUGCAUCAAAAGAAAAUGAGAGGAAAGCAGGAAAGAUGGACUUGCCUUUGGAGAGACUUAGAAACACAGAUCUCUCUGCUUGUGGCAGAACUAAAAUGCUUUAUUUCUGAUAGGAGCAAUUUAUUCUUCAGGCAUUUUGCUUGAUAUUAGAAAGUGCCUGGCUGUUUUUGAAGUGAGAGUCUUCAGUAGAUGGUCUUUAAUUCAGAAUGAAAGCAAGCAAUGGAAAGUGUUCUAAUCCGUAAUUUUGCCAUUGUACUAACAAACUUCAGAAAUAGGGGAGCAUUUCCAAACCAUAGCUGGGGCCCCUUUCACUCACUGUGUUCUCGGUUACCAUGUGGAAGCGGGCUAGGCAGACCCACCCUCACUAAAACCAUACUUCUAAUAUAUUUGGCUGAUUACCAUUGUCUGCCACUAAAGAGAAUGAUCUAACAGAAAUGAAAGGGAAAUGCUGCUGAACAUUCAUUGCAGCUCAGUAUUGGCCUGUUCAUUUUUGCAGUGGAAGGUACACAAAAAUAAUAGUGUGGGAUAAUUGCUGCAUGGUCAAAAAAGGGAGGAUUUGUGACUGCUAGAUGGCUGCAGAGCAUGGUGUGCAGCAGAGUGGGACAUGUGUGACAAAGUGGGGACACCGCUUGAGGUGACAGCGGAACAGCCCCAAGCAGCUGCCCCCAGGAGCAGCUCUGCCCGUGCUGCCCACAGAGCGAUGCUUUACAGGUGCCCAGGGGCGUCACCUUGGGAUGUCUGAUGUGUUUUCCUUGUGUUGGUAGUUGGGAGAGCAGCAGGAAAGGACUUGGCUAAAGGGGCACCCAUCAGGAUGCUUUAAGAAGACCUACAAUGUGUCCCAGCAGUACUACAUACUGGGGGUGUUCAUGGAACUCUGGCAAAUGGGAGCAGUUGUGGUACAAGGUCACUGUGAGAAGAGACAAAAGCACAGGGCAGGCUGGCAACAACACAGACCGUAUAACCAGCAAUUUGCUUCUUACUCCGACACUACACACACAGGACAUCAGUCACCAGUGCUGCCGAAGCACGGCUGCAGCACUGAAUGCUGCCUGCUGCUCUAACACACAGCACCUGCUCUUAAUUAAUUACCAGUAUUCAAAGCAUAGUCUUGCAUUCCAGCAUGCAGCCAUUCCCUAGCACCAUGGCUGCAUGAGGGAGAACUCAGGAUUUACACUGCAAGGAUGUGGAAUCACUCUGACACGGAGUGCGCUGACAAGCACAACUGACCUGGGAAAGCGGCAUCUGGAUGCAUGCGACACAUCCAACACUCGCCUCGUGCAGCCCGGGCCCAGCAGGCAGCAGCUCCGCACCCCGAGCAGAGGGCAGCACGCGGCUGUUUCAGACUGCGCUAAUCCCUUUGUGCGUUUUGAAGAUGCUGCUGUUUCCUGGUGCAUUUCACCCUGUGGCUGCACACUCCCUUUGCAGGACGGCAAUGUGAAGGAUGCUGAGGCGAAAACCCGGGCAGCGGCUCUGUGAUCUGCCGCGCUGCUGGGGCAGGGACGUGCUGUCACACCAGCCACGGCACGGGUGUUCCUGCAGCUUGGCACAUACUGGAGUCGAUGGCCCUCAGCAUGAACUUGCGUUCUGUAUAAUACUGUCUAAGAGGCUUAAAAUCGACUGUGAAGUUCCAAUAUAGCUACAAAGCCUGUUUUCGGUUUCUCCACUGGCAGCUUGCUCCAGAAGGAGACGGUGCAAUUUGGCGAUUGAUUCUCGGAGUCUAGCUAGUGCAUCUGCACUGGGAUUUUUGGAAUCAUGUUGUGUAACAUGAAAAAUAGUAAUUUCAUUCAUUUCAAGUUGUCUUGUGGGAAUGACAGCUGCCCAAAUUCCACAUGAAGAUGAGAAAUGUGACAGAGAGCCCGGUACUGCGCGCACCAGAAAUAAAUGCAGUUUUGCACUCACUGGGAAGCCACAGUGAUCCGUCUCGCUCUCCACAGCUUAUCAUAGGUUCUCACACCAGCUCCUGACAGACCUCAGUUGCUGUGGCCAAACCCAGUGCUCCAGCUGACCAAAAGAGGAGCAGCACGCUUGCGCAGCCCUGGCCAACACACAGCCUGCUGGAAAACUACCCAACAGUCACUAGUGUUAGAAGCAGAUUAAAGCUCGAAGCAGCAGAUGCUGCUGGAGAAGGACUUGGCACAACCGUCUAUGGGAGCCACUCUCCAGAGCUGCCGUGGCGGCGAGGGUUCCCUGUGCCCAAACUGCAUCUGAGUGGGCUGGGAGCGACCAGCGCGGCCAUGCAGCCCUGACACACUCCAGCCCCUGUCCCCCCGUGGGACACGGCUGAGAGCUCCUGGGACAGGCCCCACGUCUCCCCUGGGCCCCACGUUCCCAUGGUGGGAAUUACAUGGUGAGACCCACUGAGUGCAGGUCCUGCCUGACACCCGCCCCGGGCAGGUCAGGGACACCGACACCGCGACGGGGCUGACGUGAGCUCUGCUGCUCUGGAGCCCGGGGGGCUGCAUUUCAUCAAUGGAAGUGGACUUUUAUUUUCUCCCAUUAAAACGUUUAGUUUAUUUUUGAGUGCUGAUAAACUUUGGGAGCUCACCAUACCCUGUGUGAAGCAGUCUGACACAGCAUGACAUUAAAAAACUGGUUUUGUUUUGUAGUUAUUAUUACCUGCUAGUUUGAGUGUUUCUGGUUCUUACACUGAAGGGACAAUGAAAAAUCAUACUGCAGACAACCUCUAUAUGCCAAACUUGAUUUUAUAAUCCUCUUCAGUCAUUUCUUUUCCAAGCUAUCUACUUUUUCCUCAUAUGGAAAAUAUUCUUUGUAUUUGAUCACCCUUGUUGCUCUUCUCUGAAACCCUUCCAACUCCUUUUUUCUUGAGAGAGGCAGACCAGAGCUGCAUAUGGUAAUCACAAUGCAGUUUCCACUACAGAUCUACUCAGUGGCAUAACUGUUAUCUGCUCUCCAUUAUUUUCCUAGUAAUUCUUAACAGUCAGUUUGCCUGUUGGGCUGCUCCUGGGCACUGAGCAAACAUUUCCAUAGAACCAUCUCUCCAUCUAUAUCUGGUUUUAUCUAGUAGAGCCCCAAGGCCUCGCUCCUCAGGGGGAACAGAGCAACAGCAGCUGGGACUGUGAGCAAAAUCUUGAAAUAAAGUGCAAAUGCCCCAGAACUUCAGUGGGGUUAAGACCACCAGGCUGUGUCUUGUACCUUCAAGAUCAGGGACAGCUGCUAAACAUCUGAAAAACAAAAAAUGAUGGGUUAAGAUGAGCUUCCCAACACUGCAGCCCUGUCCUAUCCCCAGCAUGUCUGCCCUGGAGCCCCAGCCCCGCCGGACGGGCUGCAUGAGGCCGUGGACAGAGUCCGGGCGGGCAGAACCGCCGGGAAUGGCCUGGACAUGCAACCUCCCUCCGCACAGCACCCGCACCUGCACCCAUCGCCAGGACUCCUUUGGAUCCCACCUCCAUGUCGUGUUCAAGCACAAAGGCCACUGUCACACAGGCCACGGGAGAGUGACGGCCCAGGUGGCACAGGAACAGGCCCAGCGCUCCAGCCAACACGGUUUGGUGCCGAGGAGCAGACACUCUAUGGCUCCGUGAUUCUGCUGGGGGCUCCUGCCCACCUCCCACCACUUGGCACAAGCACCCAACCAGAGAAUGCAGCUGGAGCCCUGCAGAUAAAUGCUGAUGUUGGUAUCAAAGAACACAAAUAAUAGCGUGUUCUCUCAGUCCUUUUUUGCAUUUCGUUUCUGUAGAUUCAGAGAGGAGCAGGGAGGGAUCAUGCAAUCUGACCAUCUGUACCUGCAGCCAAGACGGGUUUGCGUGUGACUGCGGGAUGCAAUGACCUGUGUGACAAAGGCAGCAUCACAAGGGCGUUCAGCCGGACAUGGAGACAUCAAGAGAGGGCAAAUGCAGGACUUCCUCCCUUGGCAGUCAGUCCCUCUGCACCGCCCCUACCAGUUUGUUUUUCUCCGAUGACUGCUGUGCCAGUGGGGCUAAUGAAGUUUUCUGUGUAGCACA